GAUGAACGCUAGCGGGAGGCCUAACACAUGCAAGCCGAGCGGUAUUGUUUCUUCGGAAAUGAGAGAGCGGCGUACGGGUGCGUAACACGUGUGCAACCUGCCUUUAUCUGGGGGAUAGCCUUUCGAAAGGAAGAUUAAUACUCCAUAAUAUAUUGAACGGCAUCGUUUAAUAUUGAAAGCUCCGGCGGAUAGAGAUGGGCACGCGCAAGAUUAGCUAGUUGGUGAGGUAGCGGCUCACCAAGGCGAUGAUCUUUAGGGGGCCUGAGAGGGUGAUCCCCCACACUGGUACUGAGACACGGACCAGACUCCUACGGGAGGCAGCAGUGAGGAAUAUUGGUCAAUGGGUGCAAGCCUGAACCAGCCAUCCCGCGUGAAGGACGACUGCCCUAUGGGUUGUAAACUUCUUUUGUAUAGGGAUAAACCUACCCUCGUGAGGGUAGCUGAAGGUACUAUACGAAUAAGCACCGGCUAACUCCGUG
rnacentral:rRNA from 1 species